rnacentral:rRNA from 1 species
GAUGAACGCUGGCGGCGUGCUUAACACAUGCAAGUCGAACGAUGAAGCCCAGCUUGCUGGGUGGAUUAGUGGCGAACGGGUGAGUAACACGUGAGUAACCUGCCCUUAACUCUGGGAUAAGCCUGGGAAACUGGGUCUAAUACCGGAUAGGAGCGCCUACCGCAUGGUGGGUGUUGGAAAGAUUUAUCGGUUUUGGAUGGACUCGCGGCCUAUCAGCUUGUUGGUGAGGUAAUGGCUCACCAAGGCGACGACGGGUAGCCGGCCUGAGAGGGAGACCGGCCACACUGGGACUGAGACACGGCCCAGACUCCUACGGGAGGCAGCAGUGGGGAAUAUUGCACAAUGGGCGAAAGCCUGAUGCAGCGACGCCGCGUGAGGGAUGACGGCCUUCGGGUUGUAAACCUCUUUCAGUAGGGAAGAAGCGAAAGUGACGGUACCUGCAGAAGAAGCACCGGCUAACUACGUG